GACGGACGCUGGCGGCGCGCCUAACACAUGCAAGUCGAACGAGCGAGAGAGAGCUUGCUUUCUCAAGCGAGUGGCGAACGGGUGAGUAACGCGUGAGGAACCUGCCUCAAAGAGGGGGACAACAGUUGGAAACGACUGCUAAUACCGCAUAAGCCCACGACCCGGCAUCGGGUAGAGGGAAAAGGAGCAAUCCGCUUUGAGAUGGCCUCGCGUCCGAUUAGCUAGUUGGUGAGGUAACGGCCCACCAAGGCGACGAUCGGUAGCCGGACUGAGAGGUUGAACGGCCACAUUGGGACUGAGACACGGCCCAGACUCCUACGGGAGGCAGCAGUGGGGAAUAUUGCACAAUGGGGGAAACCCUGAUGCAGCGACGCCGCGUGGAGGAAGAAGGUCUUCGGAUUGUAAACUCCUGUUGUUGAGGAAGAUAAUGACGGUACUCAACAAGGAAGUGACGGCUAACUACGUG
rnacentral:rRNA from 1 species